AGGGCAAGUCUGGCGCCAGCAGCCGCGGUAAUUCCAGCUCCAAUAGCGUAUAUUAAAGUUGUUGCAGUUAAAAAGCUCGUAGUUGAAUUUCGGGGUUCUACCGUUGGUCGGGCUUUGUCUGUACUGGCGUGUAGAAUUUCUACCUUCUGGGGAACCAUUAUGUUAUUAAUUUAGCGUAGUGGGAAACCAGGACCUUUACCUUGAAAAAAUUAGAGUGUUCAAAGCAGGCUUAUGUCUGAAUACAUUAGCAUGGAAUAAUAGAAUAGGACGGUGGUCCUGUUUUGUUGGUUUCUGAAUCACCGUAAUGAUUAAUAGGGAUAGUUGGGGGCAUUAGUAUUCAAUUGUCAGAGGUGAAAUUCUUGGAUUUAUUGAAGACUAACUUCUGCGAAAGCAUUUGCCAAGGAUGUUUUCAUUAAUCAAGAACGAAAGUUAGGGGAUCGAAGACGAUCAGAUACCGUCGUAGUCUUAACCAUAAACUAUGCCGACUAGGGAUCGGACGAUGUUAAUUUUUCUUGACUCGUUCGGCGCCUUACGGGAA
rnacentral:rRNA from 1 species